ACUUUCCUUGUCAUGGGGUGGUAUGGGAAACUCAAUGAACGUUUAGUGAGAGUUACCCUGCUAACACCAUAAUCAACACAUAAGCAUCACCUGGGCUUCUGCUCAGAUACUGGUGCAAUUUUUGGAAAC